rnacentral:lncRNA from 1 species
CUCCCUCUAUAGUGGUACCCUGUUCCUCUGUGCCUCCCUCUAUAGUGGUACCCUGUUACCCUGUGGUCUCCCUCUAUCUAUAGUGGUACCCUGUUACCCUGUGUCUCCCUCUAUAGUGGUACCCUGUUCCCCUGUGUCUCCUCUAUAGUGGUACCCUGUCCCUGUGUCUCCUUCAUAGUGGUACCCUG